rnacentral:rRNA from 1 species
UACUACCGAAGCUACGGCAUCAGUAAUGAUGGGUAGGGGAGCUUCCCAUACGGGUUGAAGCAUGACCGUAAGGACAUGUGGACAGUAUGGGAGUGAGAAUGUUGGCAUGAGUAGCGAGAUGUGGGUGAGAAUCCCACAGGCCGUAAACCCAAGGUUUCCAGGGGAAGGUUCGUCCGCCCUGGGUUAGUCGGGACCUAAGCUGAGGCCGAAAGGCGUAGGUGAUGGACAACAGGUUGAUAUUCCUGUACUACCGAUAACCGUUUGAGAGAAGGGAUGACACAGUAGGAUAAGCUAAGCACACUGUUGGUUAUGUGUGCCCAAGCAUGGAGGCAGUCAAAGUAGGCAAAUCCGCUUUGAUAAUGCUGGGAUGUGAUGGGGAGCGAAAUUUAGUAGCGAAGUAGCUGAUUUCACACUGUCAAGAAAAGUCUCUAUCGAGGUUAAAGGUACCCGUACCGCAAACCGACACAGGUG